UACAGAGGUGGCAAGCGUUGUUCGGAAUUACUGGGCGUAAAGGGCGCGUAGGCGGCCUUCUAAGUCAGACGUGAAAUCCCCAGGCUUAACUUGGGAACUGCGUCUGAUACUGGGAGGCUUGAGUGCGGGAGAGGGAUGUGGAAUUCCAGGUGUAGCGGUGAAAUGCGUAGAUAUCUGGAGGAACACCGGUGGCGAAGGCGGCAUCCUGGACCGACACUGACGCUGAGUGAGCGAAAGCCAGGGGAGCAAACGGG
rnacentral:rRNA from 1 species